rnacentral:rRNA from 1 species
ACUCCUACGGGAGGCAGCAGUGGGGAAUAUUGCACAAUGGGCGCAAGCCUGAUGCAGCCAUGCCGCGUGUAUGAAGAAGGCCUUCGGGUUGUAAAGUACUUUUCAGCAGUGAGGAAGGUGGGUAUGUUAAUAGCAUACUCAUUUGACGUUAGCUGCAGAAGAAGCACCGGCUAACUCCGUGCCAGCAGCCGCGGUAAUACGGAGGGUGCGAGCGUUAAUCGGAAUUACUGGGCGUAAAGCGCAUGCAGGUGGUUUGUUAAGUCAGAUGUGAAAGCCCGGGGCUCAACCUCGGAAUUGCAUUUGAAACUGGCAAACUAGAGUACUGUAGAGGGGGGUAGAAUUUCAGGUGUAGCGGUGAAAUGCGUAGAGAUCUGAAGGAAUACCGGUGGCGAAGGCGGCCCCCUGGACAGAUACUGACACUCAGAUGCGAAAAGCGUGGGGAGCAAAACAGGAUUAGAUACCCUGAUAGGCUCUGC